UGGGGAAUAUUGGACAAUGGGCGAAAGCCUGAUCCAGCCAUGCCGCGUGUGUGAAGAAGGCCUUCGGGUUGUAAAGUACUUUCAGCGAGGAGGAAGGCGUUGUGGUUAAUAACCGCAACGAUUGACGUUACUCGCAGAAGAAGCACCGGCUAACUCCGUGCCAGCAGCCGCGGUAAUACGGAGGGUGCAAGCGUUAAUCGGAAUUACUGGGCGUAAAGCGCACGCAGGCGGUCUGUCAAGUCGGAUGUGAAAUCCCCGGGCUCAACCUGGGAACUGCAUCCGAAACUGGCAGGCUAGAGUCUUGUAGAGGGGGGUAGAAUUCCAGGUGUAGCGGUGAAAUGCGUAGAGAUCUGGAGGAAUACCGGUGGCGAAGGCGGCCCCCUGGACAAAGACUGACGCUCAGGUGCGAAAGCGUGGGGAGCAAACA
rnacentral:rRNA from 1 species